rnacentral:rRNA from 1 species
GAUGAACGCUGACAGCAUGCUUAACACAUGCAAGUCUACUUGAACUUCGGUUUGGGUGGCGGACGGGUGAGUAACGCGUAAAGAACUUGCCUCACAGUUAGGGACAACAUUUGGAAACGAAUGCUAAUACCUGAUAUUAUGAUUUUAGGGCAUCCUAGGAUUAUGAAAGCUAUAUGUGCUGUGAGAGAGCUUUGCGUCCCAUUAGCUAGUUGGAGAGGUAACGGCUCACCAAGGCGAGGAUGGGUAGCCGGCCUGAGAGGGUGAACGGCCACAAGGGGACUGAGACACGGCCCUUACUCCUACGGGAGGCAGCAGUGGGGAAUAUUAGACAAUGGACCAAAAGUCUGAUCCAGCAAUUCUGUGUGCAAGAUGACGCUUUUCGGAAUGUAAAGUGCUUUCAGUUGGGAAGAAAAAAAUGACGGUACCAACAGAAGAAGAGACGGCUAAAUACGUG